GGUCGCCUUCCAGGGUGUGGAGCCUUUGUUCUUCUGCUCUUCACAAUAAAUCUUGCUGCUGCUCACUCUUUGGGUCCACGUUGCCUUCAUGAGCUGCAACACUCCCCGUGGAGACCACGAAUGCACAGGGAUGGACGAACAACUCUGGAGACACCACCUUUAUGAACUGUAACACUAACCGCGAAGGUCUGCAGUUUCACGCCUGAAGCCAGUGAGACUACCAACCUACCAGAAGGAAGAAACCUCAGACACACUAUGUUUAAGAACUCUGACACUAACCGUGAGGGUCCACAGCUUCAUUCUUGAACACGUUUUUCAGCACCAGGACAAGCGUAAUUGCUCAAGGAAAGCUUGGUUGACAACAACAGGAAAUUAGAGUCUGAAUUGUAACAAAUGUGGCAAGAGCACCAAGAUCACUGUGUGUUCACAGAAAAUGUACCAAAGGAAGAAGCCUUAAAAACAAAUGGCAGGUGUGUGGGCACCAGAGAAUCAACAUAUCAGGAAGAGACAAACGGCAUGGUUUUAGUGUAAUUGUAAAAAGGGUCACUCUGUUGCCCAGACUGGAGUGCAAUGGUAAGAUUCCUAGUGCUCCGAUGGUCCUCCCACCUAAGCUUCCUGUCCGGGACUACAGAUGUGUGCCACCACAUCUGGCUGAUUUUUAAAUAUUUUUUUGUAGAAAUGAGGUUUCACCGUGUUGCCCGGGCUGGUCUCGAACCCAUGGGCUCAAGCCAUCUGCCUGCCUUGAUCUGCCGGACGUUAGCCUCCCAAAGUGCUAGGAUUACAGGCCUGAGCCACCGCACCUGGUCAUGAUUUUGAAGUUUUCAAAGUGUACUUAAACCUAAAUAAAGGCCUAUGUAUUAU